AGGACAUCAGCCCCACCUCCCAGAGAAAUGGGCUCAGGCUCGACCUAUGUCAGCUCUUAGCUACUGCUCCAGCAUCAUGACCACCUACCUGUUGCUAUGCUACCCACCAUGAUGGUCAUGGACUUAUCCUCUGGGACUGUAAGCCCAUUAAACUCUUUCUUCUAUUUUUGACUACUGAGUCUGAAGAAGUUGGCCAGUAUAAUUGCUUGUGGUUUAAUGUGAAAUGGUUCCCCACAGGCUUACCUGUUGAACACUUGUUUCCCAGCUUGUGGUGCUGUUUGGGAAGGUUGUGGAACUUUGAGGUAGUGGAGCUCUCUGGAGGAAGUGAGUCACUGGAGCUGGCCUGUGGGCAUUAUCCUGAGCAUGCCUGUAUGCAAAUUCACCUCCCACCCCUGAGCAUGCCUGUAUGCAAAGACUCCACCUCCCACCCCUGAGCAUGCCUGUAUGCAAAGACUCCACCUCCCACCCCUGAGCAUGCCUGUAUGCAAAGACUCCACCUCCCACCCCUGAGCAUGCCUGUAUGCAAAGACUUCACCUCCCACCCCUGAGCACGCCUGUACACAGACUCCCACCUCCCACCACUGAGCAUGCCUGUACACAGACUACCCCACCCACCCACACCCACCCCUUCCCAUGCCACUACUCUGUCUUGUCACUAGCUACUAGCCUUCUCUGACAGCUGCCAUGUGUCCCAGCCACAAUGGAAUGAUCCUCCAGAAAGAUAAGACAGAAUAAAUGCUAUUUUCUCUAGGUCAGGUAUUUUAUCACAGCAAGGAGAAAAGUAAGUAAUAUACUUUUCAACUAAGUACUUCCAAAUCUAUUGAACCUACUUCAAUUUAAAUAUAUAUAUAUAUAUAUAUAUAUAGGAAACAAUUGAUAAUGUCUCAGAAGAGAAAAGUUGGGGGAGGUAUUUUCAACAAGUCCAGGGGCACAGUGGCUGAACUAAUUUUAAAACCCUCUGGUUUAUAGUCAGUAGACUUGUGGUGUUGGUAGGAGUUGAGCAGAGAGAAGCAGGUGGUUAAACACGUCUGGUCUGGCCAGGUAACUAUUCUGUGACUUUUGCUGAGGUGAGCAAUCCAUUAUGUGAAAGCCUUGAACACAUAUAGUCUCGUUUUUUUAUGUCCAUUUCCAAUACUUUCUGGGAAAAUGUAGUUGAUGCUAGCUGUGACAGAAAGUACCUAGAACUUAUUUCCACGAAGACAAAACUUACCUAGUGAGGUGUGGCAUGAUAGAAAGCUUUAGAUUUUUGUGAUAGUUUUGGGAUGGACCUGUGAUCAUCACCUAAGAUGGCUUCAGAGGUUGAGUUGUGUUUGUACAUCCCAUAUAAGUCACUAGUUUCUCUACAAACGCACUAAAGGUAAGCAAAUUGUGUUCAAAUCCAUCAGUUAGUUCAUAGUGUGAUAUUUUGACAAAUUGUAACAAACUGCAGCUCUGAAGUGAUUGCAAUGAGCAUGUGAUAGUUCAAUGUAUUUGACAAAAUGAACUGAGAAAUUCAUUGUCUUGGAUAUUUUUCUAUUGCAGUUACAAAACAUCGUGACCAAGGGACAAAGGAAAGCAUUUCACUGGGGACCUGCUGACAGUUUCAGAGGGUUGUUAGCCCAUGACUAUCAUGGCCAGAAACAUGGCAGCAGCUAGAUAGACAUAAUGCUGAGGCACUAGCUGAGAGGUCACAUCCUGGGGCAACAUCCAUGGGGCAGAGAGAGCCAACUGGAAUGGUGUUGGCUUUUGACACCUCAAAGUCCAGCCCCACACCGGUGACACACCUCCAACAGGUCAGACCGCAAAUCCUUCCCAAACAGUCCUACCACCUAAAGACCAAGCUUUCAAAUAUUUGAUCCUACUGGGGGCCAUUCUCUUUCAACCACCACAUCCAUUAAUAUUCGUGGGCUUGAAAACAGAAGGAAACAGUACACUCCCAGGUAUCAGAUGAACGGAAGGAAAAUCACAGGAGAAACAAGAAAACACUUGGAAAACGUGUAGAAUGAAGACAAGACAUCCCUAAAUGUAUCAGAUGCAAAGUUAUUAUGGUAAAG